GAACAGCGGUGCCAUCUUCCGGGGUACAUAAAUGCCUGACGCCUCGCCACCGACAGCAAUUCGAGUGUGCAGGGCCGUUCCGGGUGCGAGGUAUAUUGCAUUCAUACCUGUGGAUACACGAACAAGCUACAGUGAGGGAGGCAAAACAAACGAAAACAUGAAGAGGCAAUUCUACAUUGCGCUACUGUUGGUGGCGGUAGCGUGCGCGCAAGACACCGCAAGUUGCCCCUAAAAGCAUACGGCGCGCUUCAGCUUCGAUUAUAUUUUCGGAAGCAAAGGCAAGCAGCGAAGCCGCCUCCGACUUCGACGAC